UCCCAGGGGGCUUUCCGCUUUUCAUUUUUUCACCCGCCACCGCUGCACCGCUGCACUCGUGAUGAAAAAUGCAUAAAGUACCUGCUCUCUGGCGGUCUGGGGUCUGGGGUCUGACGGCAGGCGGCUAAUGAGUUUAAGUUCUCUCAACUGACACAAAACACCGCUGCAACAGCGACAGCAACAGCGACAGCAGCAACGUGUCCACACAAUUGACAGUUCGCCCCUCUGGGCACACUGCCACUCACACACCCGCACGGACACAGACACGGACACGGACACACUCGAGUGACAAGUGUCUUGCCUGUUACACCGGGUGCAAGCCAGCGUCUGAGGUCUGCAGCUGACACAAUUGCACCUUCGGGAUUUUGGCUGCGACUUGGCUGAGACGGCGACGGUGACAUGCAUAAUGCACUGGUUCUCCCUCUUCUGAGGCAAGCCAUGGCUGCAGCAACAGGUGGCAAACAGUGUCAUCCCGAAACUUUCUCAUCUCUAUAUUUGGAUUGCUUCUUUGCUUAAUGAAAUUACAUUAGUUAAUGAGGAAAAGACAGAUAAAGAAGAGAGAGAUAAAAGAAAGAAAAGAACGAAAAGAAACUGUCUGAAAGCACUCUACGGGAUGUUAAUAGAGUCCUUCCUGUCCUUUCCUUUGCUUUCCUUUCCUGUCCUUUCCGUCGCGCACAUUCAAAUUGAAUUAAAAUUCCAUUUGCAGUUGUCGUUUGAUUAACGUUUCUUUUUAUUUGUCCCUGUCUCUCAGUGUUUUCCGUUUCCAUCGGCUAUCGGCUAUCGUUUAUCGGUUAUCGAAUAGUUCAUCAGCUUUACGAACCGUUUCACUAAUUAAAGUCUGUCAGCCGCAUGGCGACUGGAGUUGAAAAGUUUGCCUUUGCCCUUUGACUUGGGGAAAAACUUGAAGUUUAUUUACCGAAACACCAACUGCAAUCCCAAGAAACAGCACAAAUUUAUGACAAAAGUUACUCAAUUCGCCCGUUGGCAUAUUUGUUUAUUGUAAAACUUACUAAAAACAGCAGCAGCACAGCACAGCAGCAGC
rnacentral:sRNA from 1 species